UACGUAGGGUGCGAGCGUUGUCCGGAAUUACUGGGCGUAAAGAGCUCGUAGGUGGUUUGUCGCGUUGUCCGUGAAAACUCACAGCUCAACUGUGGGCGUGCGGGCGAUACGGGCAGACUGGAGUACUGCAGGGGAGACUGGAAUUCCUGGUGUAGCGGUGGAAUGCGCAGAUAUCAGGAGGAACACCGGUGGCGAAGGCGGUUCUCUGGGCAUGACCUGACGCUGAGGAGCGAAAGUGUGGGGAGCGAACAGG
rnacentral:rRNA from 1 species